CGGCUGCAUACCAUGCAGUCGAACGGCAGCGCGGGAGCAAUCCUGGCGGCGAGUGGCGAACGGGUGAGUAAUACAUCGGAACGUGCCCAAUCGUGGGGGAUAACGCAGCGAAAGCUGUGCUAAUACCGCAUACGAUCUACGGAUGAAAGCAGGGGAUCGCAAGACCUUGCGCGAAUGGAGCGGCCGAUGGCAGAUUAGGUAGUUGGUGAGGUAAAGGCUCCANCCAAGCCNNUUCGAUCUGGUAAGCUGGUCUGAGAGGACGACCAGCCACACUGGGACUGAGACACGGCNNNCCAGACUCCUACGGGAGGCAGCAGUGGGGAAUUUUGGACAAUGGGCGCAAGCCUGAUCCAGCCAUGCCGCGUGCAGGAUGAAGGCCUUCGGGUUGUAAACUGCUUUUGUACGGAACGAAACGGCUCUUUCUAAUAAAAGAGGGCUAAUGACGGUACCGUAAGAAAUAAGCACCGGCUAACUACGUGCCAGCAGCCGCGGUAAUACGUAGGGUGCAAGCGUUAAUCGGAAUUACUGGGCGUAAAGCGUGCGCAGGCGGUGAUGUAAGACAGUUGUGAAAUCCCCGGGCUCAACCUGGGAACUGCAUCUGUGACUGCAUCGCUGGAGUACGGCAGAGGGGGAUGGAAUUCCGCGUGUAGCAGUGAAAUGCGUAGAUAUGCGGAGGAACACCGAUGGCGAAGGCAAUCCCCUGGGCCUGUACUGACGCUCAUGCACGAAAGCGUGGGGAGCAAACAGGAUUAGAUACCCUGGUAGUCCACGCCCUAAACGAUGUCAACUGGUUGUUGGGUCUUCACUGACUCAGUAACGAAGCUAACGCGUGAAGUUGACCGCCUGGGGAGUACGGCCGCAAGGUUGAAACUCAAAGGAAUUGACGGGGACCCGCACAAGCGGUGGAUGAUGUGGUUUAAUUCGAUGCAACGCGAAAAACCUUACCCACCUUUGACAUGUACGGAAUUUGCCAGAGAUGGCUUAGUGCUCGAAAGAGAACCCGUAACACAGGUGCUGCAUGGGCUGUCGUCAGCUCGUGUCGUGAGAUGUUGGGUUAAGUCCCGCAACGAGCGCAACCCUUGUCAUUAGUUGCUACAUUUCAGUUGGGCACUCUAAUGAGACUGCCCGGUGACAAACCGGAGGAAGGUGGGGAUGACGUCAAGUCCUCAUGGCCCUUAAUAGGUGGGGCCUACACACGUCAUACAAUUGGCNUGGUACAAAGGGUUGCCNAANCUCCCCGAGGGGAGACCUUAAANUCCCAUAAAACCAGUCGUAGUCCGGAUCGCAGUCUGCAACUCGACUGCGUGAAGUCGGAAUCGCUAGUAAUCGUGGAUCAGAAUGUCACGGUGAAUACGUUCCCGGGUCUUGUACACACCGCCCGUCACACCAUGGGAGCGGGUUCUGCCAGAAGUAGUUAGCUUAACCGCAAGGAGGGCGAUACCACGACAGGUCG
rnacentral:rRNA from 1 species